rnacentral:rRNA from 1 species
GGUUAAGCGACUAAGCGUACACGGUGGAUGCCCUGGCAGUCAGAGGCGAUGAAGGACGUGCUAAUCUGCGAAAAGCGUCGGUAAGGUGAUAUGAACCGUUACAGCCGGCGAUGUCCGAAUGGGGAAACCCAGUGGGAUUCGUCACACUAUCGUUAACUGAAUACAUAGGUUAACGAGGCGAACCGGGGGAACUGAAACAUCUAAGUACCCCGAGGAAAAGAAAUCAACCGAGAUUCCCCCAGUAGCGGCGAGCGAACGGGGAGCAGCCCAGAGUCUGAAUCAGCUUGUGUGUUAGUGGAACGGUCUGGAAAGUCCGACGGUACAGGGUGAUAGUCCCGUACACCAAAAUGCACAGGUUGUGAACUCGAAGAGUAGGGCGGGACACGUGGUAUCCUGUCUGAAUAUGGGGGGACCAUCCUCCAAGGCUAAAUACUCCUGACUGACCGAUAGUGAACCAGUACCGUGAGGGAAAGGCGAAAAGAACCCCGGCGAGGGGAGUGAAAAAGAACCUGAAACCGUGUACGUACAAGCAGUGGGAGCACCUUCGGGUGUGACUGCGUACCUUUUGUAUAAUGGGUCAGCGACUUAUAUUCUGUAGCAAGGUUAACCGUAUAGGGGAGCCGCAGGGAAACCGAGUCUUAACUGGGCGUUAAGUUGCAGGGUAUAGACCCGAAACCCGGUGAUCUAGCCAUGGGCAGGUUGAAGGUUGGGUAACACUAACUGGAGGACCGAACCGACUAAUGUUGAAAAAUUAGCGGAUGACUUGUGGCUGGGGGUGAAAGGCCAAUCAAACCGGGAGAUAGCUGGUUCUCCCCGAAAGCUAUUUAGGUAGCGCCUCGUGAACUCAUCUUCGGGGGUAGAGCACUGUUUCGGCUAGGGGGUCAUCCCGACUUACCAACCCGAUGCAAACUACGAAUACCGAAGAAUGUUAUCACGGGAGACACACGGCGGGUGCUAACGUCCGUCGUGAAGAGGGAAACAACCCAGACCGCCAGCUAAGGUCCCAAAGUCACAGUUAAGUGGGAAACGAUGUGGGAAGGCACAGACAGCCAGGAUGUUGGCUUAGAAGCAGCCAUCAUUUAAAGAAAGCGUAAUAGCUCACUGGUCGAGUCGGCCUGCGCGGAAGAUGUAACGGGGCUAAACUGUGCACCGAAGCUGCGGCAGCGACACUUAGGUGUUGUUGGGUAGGGGAGCGUUCUGUAAGCCUGCGAAGGUGGCCUGUGAGGGUUGCUGGAGGUAUCAGAAGUGCGAAUGCUGACAUAAGUAACGAUAAUGCGGGUGAAAAGCCCGCACGCCGGAAGACCAAGGGUUCCUGUCCAACGUUAAUCGGGGCAGGGUGAGUCGACCCCUAAGGCGAGGCCGAAAGGCGUAGUCGAUGGGAAACAGGUUAAUAUUCCUGUACUUGGUGUUACUGCGAAGGGGGGACGGAGAAGGCUAUGUUAGCCGGGCGACGGUUGUCCCGGUUUAAGCAUGUAGGCGGAGGUUCCAGGUAAAUCCGGUACCUUUUAACGCUGAGGUGUGAUGACGAGGCACUACGGUGCUGAAGUAACAAAUGCCCUGCUUCCAGGAAAAGCCUCUAAGCAUCAGGUAACAUUAAAUCGUACCCCAAACCGACACAGGUGGUCAGGUAGAGAAUACCAAGGCGCUUGAGAGAACUCGGGUGAAGGAACUAGGCAAAAUGGUGCCGUAACUUCGGGAGAAGGCACGCUGAUAUGUAGGUGAAGCCCCUGCGGGUGGAGCUGAAAUCAGUCGAAGAUACCAGCUGGCUGCAACUGUUUAUUAAAAACACAGCACUGUGCAAACACGAAAGUGGACGUAUACGGUGUGACGCCUGCCCGGUGCCGGAAGGUUAAUUGAUGGGGUUAUCCGUAAGGAGAAGCUCUUGAUCGAAGCCCCGGUAAACGGCGGCCGUAACUAUAACGGUCCUAAGGUAGCGAAAUUCCUUGUCGGGUAAGUUCCGACCUGCACGAAUGGCGUAAUGAUGGCCAGGCUGUCUCCACCCGAGACUCAGUGAAAUUGAACUCGCUGUGAAGAUGCAGUGUACCCGCGGCAAGACGGAAAGACCCCGUGAACCUUUACUAUAGCUUGACACUGAACAUUGAGCCUUGAUGUGUAGGAUAGGUGGGAGGCUUUGAAGCGUGGACGCCAGUCUGCGUGGAGCCAACCUUGAAAUACCACCCUUUAAUGUUUGAUGUUCUAACGUUGGCCCCUUAUCGGGGUUGCGGACAGUGUCUGGUGGGUAGUUUGACUGGGGCGGUCUCCUCCCAAAGAGUAACGGAGGAGCACGAAGGUUAGCUAAUCCUGGUCGGACAUCAGGAGGUUAGUGCAAUGGCAUAAGCUAGCUUGACUGCGAGCGUGACGGCGCGAGCAGGUGCGAAAGCAGGUCAUAGUGAUCCGGUGGUUCUGAAUGGAAGGGCCAUCGCUCAACGGAUAAAAGGUACUCCGGGGAUAACAGGCUGAUACCGCCCAAGAGUUCAUAUCGACGGCGGUGUUUGGCACCUCGAUGUCGGCUCAUCACAUCCUGGGGCUGAAGUAGGUCCCAAGGGUAUGGCUGUUCGCCAUUUAAAGUGGUACGCGAGCUGGGUUUAGAACGUCGUGAGACAGUUCGGUCCCUAUCUGCCGUGGGCGCUGGAGAAUUGAGGGGGGCUGCUCCUAGUACGAGAGGACCGGAGUGGACGCAUCACUGGUGUUCGGGUUGUCAUGCCAAUGGCAUUGCCCGGUAGCUAAAUGCGGAAGAGAUAAGUGCUGAAAGCAUCUAAGCACGAAACUUGCCCCGAGAUGAGUUCUCCCUGAGACUUUAAGUCUCCUGAAGGAACGUUAAAGACGAUGACGUUGAUAGGUCGGGUGUGUAAGCGUAGCGAUACGUUGAGCUAACCGAUACUAAUGAACCGUGAGGCUUAACCUU